CCAAUGGGGCCUGGCACCAAAUGCGCUGGGGGUACUGGCGUGGUUUCUAGGUAGGGGCACUAUUUGGAUUUUGGGUGCGGUGUUCCUCCGUUGUGCCCAGCUGCUCCCCUCCCCCCCACCACCUACUAAACGCCAGCCGGUCCCCUCCCCCAGUCACUGUGGCACCCAGAACUUCUCUCUCUCAAGUCCCCCCUCGUCGAGGACUGCUGGCCGAGACGCCGACAGUGACAGCACCUGAGCUCCUGCUGGAUGCCAGGCACCGCCCCCCCCCUCCCCGCCGCCCAGGGCUGCAGCCCCCGCUGGGUUUGACCCUCCCUGCGGACCGGAGAGCCACAUGCCUCUCUGGCCCUCGUUGUGCAGAAGAGGGGGCUCAGAGAGGCCGGAGGACCUGCCCAAGAUGGCCCAGGCUUUGACCGCAGAAACCCUCCAACACCACAGCCGCCUGGAGGAAGGCGACAGCGAUCCAGGGAGAGCAGCCGGGGGUCCAAGCCCGGCCCUGCCAGGUGCUAGCUGUGUGACACCGGGUGAGUAACACAACCUCUCUGUGCAUCAGAGCUUCGUGGGCGCUGUUCUGGUGGCCCGUGCGAGUGUGGAGGGGGGCAGUGCCCAGCCAUCCCUGGCAGCCCUGAGGGCCUC
rnacentral:lncRNA from 1 species